rnacentral:rRNA from 1 species
GAUCCUGGCUCAGGAUGAACGCUAGCUACAGGCUUAACACAUGCAAGUCGAGGGGCAGCAUGGUCUUAGCUUGCUAAGGCCGAUGGCGACCGGCGCACGGGUGAGUAACACGUAUCCAACCUGCCGUCUACUCUUGGACAGCCUUCUGAAAGGAAGAUUAAUACAAGAUGGCAUCAUGAGUCCGCAUGUUCACAUGAUUAAAGGGGGUAUUCCGGUAGACGAUGGGGA